rnacentral:hammerhead_ribozyme from 1 species
AUCCAACUGACGAGUUCCGAAUAGGACGAAACGUGUGUCAAACUGGAU